GUCUGAAAUCACAGCCAUAUUCAUAAAUACCUAAUUACUACAUUCAACAAAGAAUAUAUUACAUUACAAGGAAUUCAAACAAGUACAUUUUUUUUUGAAAAACAGAAUUUCACAGCAUCUAGACAUCCUCCACUGAGUCGGGGGCUAUUGCGCAGCGUGCUUGGACUGAAGAUGCAGGAGUAUGGAGACGGAGGCAGGUCAGGGGGGGGGGGCGGGUCAGGGGCGGUGCUUACUGCUCUGCCCGCCGUGCUCAUUGGCAGCUCACCUCAACAUGAGUGCUCCCGACUAAUCUGAUAGGCUGUGUGCUCUUUGCUAUGUUCUGCUUCAUGACAUAAAAAAAUAAAACAACGUUCGACCGGUCUGAGAUAAGGUUGGGUGAGACAUGGGUCACAGCGUGGAAUCGUGUAAAAAAUACCUCUGUUAGUAUCGGUAAUGUGAUAUGAAGUGUUCACGAUUAUGGUUAUUAAAAAAUAAUGGGGUCCAUCGUGGUUUAAUCCUGGGAGUCAGAGGUACAGUCCCACGAUAGAUUACCGACUUGUAGUUCGAAUCCCACACCCUUUGACUCUGCCCUGAAGAAACCCCCUGGUCCAGUCAGCUCCUACAGAGCAGUCAGUGCUGUACUACAGGGUGGGGUUGAGGGAGGGGGGGUGGUACUAGGGCUGGGUGGAGGAGGGGGGGCGGGGCAGGUGUCAGGAACAACAACCAGGGCCGGUCUGAGUGCAUGUACAGAGUUCCAGUGUGGACAUGCUGAAGUGCCUCAUUAGGGACACUGACACUCCAUCCACCGCGCAGUGGUUCGGCAAACAGAACAAGGAUGGGAUGGAAAUGCAGUAGCUUUGAUUUGCACCUCAGAGGCCCCCAGCAUGGAGAACAGGUGAGGUCCUUGAGAUUUGAUAACGAUGUUGGCAAACAAGAACCUUUGGAUGACGGAUCAAGGUGUCUCAUGCUGGGGGGAAAUGGAGGGAGCGGAUAUUUACGACAGAAUUGACACCAAUGGAAAAUGGGGACAGAAAUAAUGUGAGUUGGCCGUCAUGGUUGGAAUCCUGGUUGCAUUGGCAACCUAAUUGAGACUUAUUAUAAAUUGAGGAUCCAAUAUGGUCUUACAAUUACCCUUUUUUUGGCACACUCCUUAUAUGGCUCUGGCAAAGUACCUAACCUUGUAAGGCAUAAUAUGCCACCUCUAAUUAUACACUGUGUUUUUACUAUUUUAAUGAUGAUGACAUUGAAGUCCAGUGAGUGGCGAUUAAUUUGAUACCUUUGGACGUGGCUGUAGGAUUUGUUCAGUAAUGGACUAUUGAGUGUCUCCCUUCAUUUAGACAAUAAACAAAAACAGGCACCAACGAGAGGAACCCUCGCUAGGGUUUGGGGGAUUCGAACCUAGAGGCACAUAGUGUGGGGAGAAGGGGGGGGUUCAGCUCAGUGACCUCUAAGUACGCUUGGCUGAGCUCAGAGACGGGGGGGAUGAGAAGGGGGUUAGGGUGGGGGAGCUGUAACUGGGUGUCAGAUGCACAGAGUGCUGGAGAGGAGGACGACAUGGAGAGUAGAACGUUGUACCCUAUUUCUCUCUCCCACUCUCAUAAUGUUACCUCAACAUGAGCUAGCCAGCAGCAGUACACACACUAGAAGCAGGGCUUUAUUGACCAACCCAUCCCACCCUCAAAAAAAGCAUUAACAUAUAUAAAAAAAAUGGCAGGCUUUUUUUUUCUUUUAAAAGAACAUUGAUUAAGUAAUAAAACAUACAAAAUUCUUUUAGUCUUCAUAUUAUAUACAAUACAAGGCUCAAGCACCUUUUUAAAAUUCUUAUUCUCAAAUUUUUCUAUUUUGAAAUAAAACAUUUCCUUUAUUCUUUCCAAAAAUGUGCAUUUUUUCCUAAGUUCUCUCCUUAAUGUGAACAGUUCUUUGCCGCAUCAGAGUACCGACAUUGGUAGCUCUUCACGCAUUCUUCUUAAGUGCAUUUUCCAGUUCAAAAACUAAUGCGGCCCCCGUGACUCCGUCAGUCUGAUGGGCCGGGGACAUACUUAUGCUUUUGGUGAUGGGGGGACUGGGGGGCUGGGGGGGGGGCGUGGUCACCCGCUCAUGGAGUGGCUCUUCCUAUUGGCAGAAUAGUCCUUGUGGGCGUGGCUGUGAGAGCAGUAGGGGCUGAAGCAGGGCAUGAUUUACACUACAUUGAGAAGUUCGGUCGUGUGUGUGUGUGUGUGUGUGUGUGUGUGUGCGCGCGUGGCGUGUUCUGUGUCCGUAGUAUGUGCAUGCGUGGUUCUCCUGCUACUCCGGCCCAACACUCUCACGGAUCCCAGGGUUCGGGUGAAGUUGGCAGACACAAGUGGCUUGUGGCACCGUCCCUGGCUGGCCGUGACCCAGAGACGGUUUGUCCUUCAUCGUUUGGUCCUAGUGCCCCCCCGUGCAUUCGCUCCCGUCUCCCCAACGUCGAUUCAUCCACUGAACCGGCCAGCCAGCCAGCCAGCUCCUCUUCAGUCGUCGAGCUACGUUCACAACAUCAAGGCCAUAAAAAAUAAACUCUAGGUGUGUGUCUGAGAGGAGGAUGAGGAGGAGGAGGAGGGAGGAAGAGGUGACAGCCGGGGCCGGGGCCCUUGGGUGGGGGCCCGUCAGCUCAGCAGAGCGGGGUCACCUGGGUGGGUAUCCCUUUGUGUCUGUGGCAGCGUCAGGCACUUCCUGAAGUGCUCCAGCUCCGCCUGCAGCUUCUCUCGCUCCAGCGCCAGCUUCUGCCUCUGGGACAUCAGCUCCUACACUCACGACCAGACGGGGUCAGGAGGGGAGACGACAAUACACCCAGUCAGCACUGUGGUUUGGUUUGGAGGAUGUUGGCUCCCACCGCAGAACGUGUCUCAACUUCUAAAACGUUGUGCGAGGCUUACGCUACAUCUAGCCAUGCGACACGCAACGCUAUGUUGCACACGUUUGUUAUGGCUUCACAGGUACACUGGCAGCCGCUCACGCACACACACACAAACACACAGACAUUCGCACUCACUCACACACACACACACGUGCAUGCAGGCACACACACACACACACACACACGCACAUGCAGGCACACACACGCACAU
ensembl:lncRNA